UCACGGCAGGUUGAGUUCCAUGUUCUGGGCACUGUGGGGAUCUGUGUCACAGGGCCCACUGGGGGAGGGGCAACGUGGAACUGGUGAGCCACAAAAUAGUUUGGGUUGGAAAGGACCUUGGUGAUCAUCUAGCUCAAACCCCCCUGCCUUGGGCAUGGAGGGAUAGCUUGCAGUAGACCUGGUUGUUCAGAGACUGGCUCAGAAGGUGUCCUUGAACACUUCAAGGUGUGGGGCUACCACAGCUGCUUGGGGCAACCUGGGCCAGUUCCUCAGUAUCCUCACCAUCAAGAACUCCUUCCCAAUAUCCCAUCUAAAGCUACCCUCUGUCACUGUAAAGACAUUGCCCCUUUUCCAGUCAGUACCUGCCCUAGUAAGAAGUCUCUCUGCUGCUUUCUUUAAGUCCCUUUUCUUGUGUGAUGAGGGUCUGCAGGCCCUAGGGUCAGCAGUGGCUCUCUUUUCUCACUGCCUGCUAAUAUCUCACAGGAAAACACUUAUCAUGGCAUCACAGCCUCUUUGAAAUUUCACUGCCUCCCUGCUCCUGCUCCUCUCUGCUCUCUACAGUCUUUUUUCCAUGAGAUUCUUCUCAAAACCGAAUCACUCUGAAACAGGGCGCCUUCAGGAAGCAUGUGUGUGUUUGAGUCAGGAGCCAGUCCAGUCACAGCCAUAGUGGGUGAGCAUCCACAUUUCCAAUGUGGAUGUUUGAAGAGCAGCUGAGAAUGCAGCUGCUUCAGAUUCAGCAUGGAAAAAAAUCUCUCCUAAUAGCUUUAAAUAAACAAUAAUGAACAAUCUGCUACUUAUUUAGUUUGAUGUUGACAAGUUAGCUUAAUUUCUCAGGUGGAAGCAUCCUAGAAGAUGUUAGUAGUUUUGAAUGAGGAUCAUUGUUUGGAAGUUAUACUUCUAGAUAUUUCUGUAGUGAUUGUGAAAUUUUUUUUGGUGAUUUUCUUCUAGAGAUGGAGUCAUGAAAUGUAGGCGCGGUAAAAUAUGUAAGAUUUCAUAUGACUUUUUAUUUUGAGAAAUCCUGGGUUUAGUGAGUCAUGACAGGGAUGAUACUGACCUAAACAGAGUAGCUGACUUUAUUGCUGGGGUGAUACGUCAGAAUCUUCGCUUGUCUUAAGGUACAUCACAAUUGCUCCCAGCAUGAGUUUGCCAGAAAACUUUGAUAACAAUGCUGAGUUUUCCAGAAUUUCAGCAGCUUAUCUGGGAAACCUUACCUGGUAUUUCUGGAGCAAACAGAAUUUCUUCUAAGACCAUAUUGACCUUCUGGAAGUGCUUUAUGUUUGGCACCUAUCUAAAGCAGCUCUCCUUUGGAGCUCUAUGAGAAAAGGGGUGAGAGGGGAGAAAAAAUGGUUAAUUGCUUUGCUUCUCAUAGGCAAAAUUUUUUUUUGUUUAAAGGGACACAGAAAAAGAGAUACUGGAAAUUGCUGUUUUUUAGAAAAAUGUAAAUGGUUGAAAUUUUAUUUCAUAUUGGAAUUGGAUUGUCUUCAAUGUAUUUUCCAAGGAAUUGCAGCUGUCUGUAAGCAUAGAAGGGCUGGGAAAAGUUAAGUUACAUAGCAAAUCUGUUUAUUUCUGCUGUUUUUUAUUAAACUGCAUCCUUCAAUAUUAAUGUAGACCAAGAAAAAGAUUUGCUACACAAGUGAUCAUAUUGGUUUACCAGGUAUGUUUACAACUGUUCUUUUGUUACGUGGCAAGAUAAUACAGACAUCCGGAUCAUUGCUAAUUCUUGGGUCUGUAGCAUGGUGUUACUCUGAAUGAUGUACAGUGUAAGGCUCAGGCAUUCCAAGAGAUGCCUAAAGAUAUUUUAUGGGGAAAAAAGUUAAUUGCCAAUUGAUUUAUGAACAUAGCUUUCUGCAGAACAAUGACUGGAUUCAGUAGAGUUCAGGAAACUGUGAUCUUUUGUGUAUUUUUAUAGGACAGUUGGAUGCAGUUGUAACUGUAUAAAGUGUAAAGCUGAAGACUCAGUUUUUGUGAUGUUAGCAUGGGAAGCUGACUUCCUGACUUCUAUAGCUUCAGUUCUUCAGGUUCAUUCACACUGCAGCUGAGAAAUGUUGUUCUGCAGUGUCUAAUAUUGCCCAUACACUACGCAAAGAGCUGCAAAGCAGUUAUAGUAGAAGCAGGCUUUGGGUUUGCAUUAAUCAGGUGGUGUGUAGCAUCUUUAUUCAUGUUGUGCCAGUGUAAGCUAAGAGAUGCAGUGCAUAAUGUACUCUGCUCUUGUACUGAAUAACAAGUAUCACAAUCCUUGUUGUCCAUGCUAUAGGUAAAGAAACUUACAGAUUUGACUUGAGCAAUAAGGAAUAAAUGUUGACUGUUAAGCAUGGCAUUCUAUGGUGCAAAUUAAAAAGAGAGGGAGAAAAAGUAACCAGUUGUUACUGGGAGGGUGAUGACUGUAGGGAGCUUCUCUAGAAAACGGGAAAAAAUUUGCUUGUAGGAGAUUCUUCUGCUGGGGUUUGGAGAACUCAGGAGUACAUUAAGAAUGUGUGUGUAUAUCUAAAAAUUAAUACUUCACAGUUUUGAGAUGAGGGAGUAGAAGAAAAUAAAAGUGAAACAGAAAUAGAGAGAGUUGUUUUGGAAAUGAGACGUUUCCUAUGGAGUUUUUUUUCUGAGCAAGUGAAAUAUAUCUUCAUGUUUUUGUGUUGAGUUUGAAAUAAUUUCUAUCUUCUUCAUGCUUUUAUUUUUCCAUAACCUGUAUUUAUGACAUUAUUUUUAUUUUAAUUUAGUAAAAGUUUAUUUAAAACAUACUUCAGUAAAAAUGGGAAAAAUAACCUUAAAGCAUGGGUGUUCAUAUAAAGUCUGUUUAAUCUGUAGGUGUUGAAUAUUUUAUUCAGUUUGCUGUUUCUGUCCACAUAUGGCUACAUGUAUACAUGCAUAUAUAAAAGGUUAAUGGAUUGUCUGGAUUUUCCAAUAUCACACUGUACAUUUUCAGGCAUAUUUUAAGGCUUUAUGUGUCUUUCACAUUCCGUCCCAAGCCAUAGAGACAUCUUUGUCUAAAGAUGUGUACACAUUCAUGGAGGAUAUGAAGUUUUUACAAUUUCCUUGGCAACCCAACAAUAUUUACAUCACCACGAUUUUCUUAUGCAAUAAAUAUUUGCAGUUCAACUGGCUGGGACAUCCCUAAUAUCUUCCUUUGAGCUGUAUGCCUGGGGUAGCCUAGAUUUUUGAACUGUUGUUUCCUGGGCACAUGCAUGGACAAAGGGCCUGUUGGUUCUCUGUAAAACUGUGUAAAUUUGCUUGUUUAUUUCAUGGAAAUGCAAGCAAGAAUUAUCUGUGGUGCCAUAAAAAUUUUGUAAGGAGUGCUUAUGGGAAACUGGGAAGAUUUCCUAGGCAAAAUACUAAAUCUGUGGCUUUUCUUGCUGCUAGUUCAUAUUUUCUUAAGAAGUGGUCCCAAGUCCUUCCAAGUCUUUUUCCUCACUUGCUGAGGGCUACUUCGAUCUUCGCUCAUGCAGUUUUUCUGCUUUUCAGAGUUUAUUCAUGGAAAAGAUGUUGCUGGUGUUUCUAACUAAGUAUAUGAUCAAAGUAUAGAGACAAACAGAUGCAGGAGGACAUCUUGGUUCAGCUCACAGAAGGAUGGUUGUGUGGAUUCGGAAGAGCCUUUCAGGACUCAGGAUAAUCUAUGAUCCUCUGAUUCUAUGAGCACCUUAUGCCCUGAAGGAAAACGCAGUUUUCUGGAGGGAAAAUAUUUCGUUUUCUGAGACACAAAAAAGGAGAGGUCUACCUCAGCUGGUGGAGUACUGAACCCGGGGACUGCAGGAUUCCACAGGCGUAAAGACACGGAAUGACACCCCCAAGGCCGGCAGGAUGAGCUCAAGCAGCCAUGGGAGGGCGGCAGAGCCUCAGGAAUGGAGAGAAGCCGCUGGAAAACAAGUUCAGCAAUAACAGGAGCUACUAACAGGGGUUGGUUGAGAAAUCCAACAGGAUGACGAAACCACGAGACCACGAAACCUCGGCAGAUGGACAUCACGGCAUUUGCAUCUGAAGAGAGAAGCAGUCAUCAGCACCUACACCAGAAGACGCCAGAUGCUGAUGGCCCAGACAAGAUGCCUAUCUGUGGGGACCAGAACCAUCAACAGCUCGAAUCUGAAUGCCAGAUUCCGGGAACCAGGGAAAUGGAUCCAGAGAAAGAAACCAACUUGAAUAUGAAGAACUCAGAAGGAAACAAAGACUUCCUGCUGCGGGCAAAAUAAACUGUAUAAGAACUGCUACCUUGAAGCAGUUGGUGUGGACGGGGAGGUCAGGCACCAGUUGGUCCUUUCCUCAUGUUCACCCGCAUCACUUCCCGGGGGUGAUACGCUGUCCGUUUUGGUGGUGGCUGUCGAGACUGUUUUUACAGUCACGAAAUAAAUUUUAUUUUUCAUAUUUUUAUUAAAA